UUAUGACCUGGCGGCAGGCUUACACAUGCAAGUCGAACGGUAGCAGGAGAAAGCUUGCUUUCUUGCUGACGAGUGGCGGACGGGUGAGUAAUGCUUGGGAAUCUGGCUUAUGGAGGGGGAUAACUACUGGAAACGGUAGCUAGUACUGCGUAAUAUCUUCGGAUUAAAGGGUGGAAUCUCCGGACCACUUGCCAUAAGAUGAGCCCAAGUGGGAUUAGGUAGUUGGUGGGGUAAAGGCCUACCAAGCCGACGAUCUCUAGCUGGUCUGAGAGGAUGGCCAGCCACACUGGAACUGAGACACGGUCCAGACUCCUACGGGAGGCAGCAGUGGGGAAUAUUGCACAAUGGGGGGAACCCUGAUGCAGCCAUGCCGCGUGAAUGAAGAAGGCUUUCGGGUUGUAAAGUUCUUUCGGUGAUGAGGAAGGCGGGUGUUUUAAUAGAAUGCUCGAUUGACGUUAGUCACAGAAGAAGCACCGGCUAACUCCGUGCCAGCAGCCGCGGUAAU
rnacentral:rRNA from 1 species